CUUCAGCGAGCCGAUCCACACCGGCCGGUCCGCGGGCCGGUCCUGCCCGUAGGUGGCCAGCAGCGCCUGCGCCUC
rfam:Kitasatospora cheerisanensis KCTC 2395 genomic scaffold scaffold00001, whole genome shotgun sequence.